rnacentral:rRNA from 1 species
CAGUCGCCGCGGUAAUACGUAGGUGGCAAGCGUUGUCCGGAAUUAUUGGGCGUAAAGCGUGCGUAGGCGGUUCGUUAAGUCUGUUGUGAAAGCCCCGGGCUCAACCUGGGAAUGGCAAUGGAUACUGGCGAGCUAGAGUGUGUCAGAAGAUGGUGGAAUUCCCGGUGUAGCGGUGAAAUGCGUAGAGAUCGGGAGGAACAUCAGUGGCGAAGGCGGCCAUCUGGGACAACACUGACGCUGAGGCACGAAAGCGUGGGGAGCAAACAGGAUUAGAGACCCCCGUAGUCCCUGUCUCUUAUAC